rnacentral:rRNA from 1 species
UACGAAGGGGGCUAGCGUUGCUCGGAAUACUGGGCGUAAAGCGUGCGCAGGCGGUUUUGUAAGUCUGUCGUGAAGGCCCCGGGCUUAACCUGGGAAUUGCGAUGGAGACUGCAAGGCUUGAAUCUGGCAGAGGGGGGUAGAAUUCCACGUGUAGCAGUGAAAUGCGUAGAGAUGUGGAGGAACACCGAUGGCGAAGGCAGCCCCCUGGGUCAAGAUUGACGCUCAUGCACGAAAGCGUGGGGAGCAAACAGG